rnacentral:rRNA from 1 species
CACGUAGGGGGCGAGCGUUGUCCGGAAUUAUUGGGCGUAAAGAGCUCGUAGGCGGUUUGUUGCGUCGGCUGUGAAAACCUGAGGCUCAACCUCAGGCCUGCAGUCGAUACGAGCAGACUAGAGUGUUGCAGGGGAGACUGGAAUUCCUGGUGUAGCGGUGAAAUGCGCAGAUAUCAGGAGGAACACCGGUGGCGAAGGCGGGUCUCUGGGCAACAACUGACGCUGAGGAGCGAAAGCGUGGGGAGCAAACAGG